GCGAGUAUGGCCCUCACGGGUCUAAUCCACCAUAAACACCUUUGUGAACCAGUCAGGGGGACUCGGCCGUGAAAGCCCAGGCGAUUAGCGGAAGGGCCCUCCUUUGCAAACCCGUUUAGAAGUCUUGAAAGUACUUUUGUAUUAUCUAGUA
rnacentral:misc_RNA from 1 species